AUGGGGACACCUGGGGACAUCAUGGGGGCACACAGAUCUACGCGCACGUCACCAAGGACAUCGGCACCUAGGGGACGCCUGGGUGGCAGCUGGAGGGACGUGGGGAUGGUGGCCACCACAUCAUCAUGGAGACGGGGACAUCAGGAGACACUUGGUGGCAGCUGGAGGGACAUGGGGAUGGUGGCCACCACGACGUUGUGGAGAUGGGGACACCUGGGGACACGUCGUGGCUGGUGGGACAUGGGGAUGGUGGUCACCAUGUCACCAUGGAGGUGGGGAUAUCUGGGGAUGUGUGGUGGCCACCAGCUUCAAGGGAGCCACCCAGAUCUAUGCCGACAUCACCGAGGACACCGGCACCUAGGGGACACCUGGGGACACCUGGGGACAUCAUGGGGACGUGUGGUGGCAGCUGAGGAUGGUGGCCACCAGGUCCCCCACGAUGGAGCUGGGGACGUCAGGGGACACCUGGGAACACAUGGUGGCAUCUGGAGGGACGUGGGGAUGGUGGCCACCAGGGUCACCAUGGAGACGGGGACAUCAGGGGACACUUGGUGGUGGCCGGUGGCAUGUGGGGAUGGUGGCCGCCACCAUGUUGUGGAGAUGGGGACACUGGGGACACUUUGGGGACACUGCGGGGCGCACUGCCACUGCAGCCUCGUGCAGCUGCAGGGACCUGGGGACAUCCCCCGGGCUCUGUCACCUGGAGGGACAUCGGGGACCUGGGGCCACCCACACCCCUGUCCCCAAGGCCACCACUGACCCAGUGUCCCCAAGGCCACCAGUGACCCGAUGUCCCCAAGGCCACCCUCACCCCAGUGUCCCCAAGGUCGCUGUCACCCCGAUGUCACCCUUGGCUUUGUGUCACUUUCUGGUGCCACCAUCUCCCCAGUGUCCCCAAGGCCACCACUGACCCAGUGUCCCCAAGGCCACCAGUGACCCGAUGUCCCCAGAGCCACUGUCACCUCCAUGUCCCCUCUUGGUGCCACUGUCACCCUGAUGUCCCCAAGGCCACCAGCACUCAAUGUCCCCAAGGCCUUGUGUCCCCUCCUGGUGUCACCAUUGUCCCGAUGUCCCCGAGGUCGCUGUCACCCCAAAGUCCCCAAGGCCACCAUUGACCCAAUGUCGCCAGAGCCACUGUCACCUCAGUGUCCCCUCCUGGUGCCGCCAAUGCCUUGAUGUCCCCAAGGCCACCAUGGCCCCAAUGUCCCCAAGGCCACCAUGGCCCCGAUGUCCCCAAGGCCAUUGUCACUGCAGUGUCACCGCUGGUCUCGUGUCCUCUCCUGGUGCCACCAUCGCCUCCGUGUCCCCGAGGCCACCAUUGACCUGAUGUCCCCUCCUGGUGUCACCAUCCUCCCGAUGUCCCCAAGGCCACCCUCACCCCAGUGUCCCCAAGGUCGCUGUCACCCCGAUGUCACCCUUGGCUUUGUGUCACUUUCUGGUGCCACCAUGGCCCCGAUGUCCCCAAGGCCACCAUUGACCUGAUGUCCCCUCCUGGUGCCACCAUGGCCCCAAAGUCCCCAAGGCCACCAUUGACCCAACGUCCCCAGAGCCACUGUCACCUCAAUGUCCCCUCCUGGUGCCACCAUCUCCCCAGUGUCCCCAAGGCCAUUGUCACCUCAGUGUCACCGCUGGUCUCGUGUCCCCUCCUGGUGCCACCCAUUGACCGUGUCCCCAAGGCCACCACCACUCAAUGUCCCCAAAGCCAUCAUCACUCAAUGUCCCCUCCUGGUGCCACCAUCUCCCCAGUGUCCCCAAGGCCAUUGUCACCUCAGUGUCACCGCUGGUCUCGUGUCCCCUCCUGGUGCCACCAUUGCCUCCGUGUCCCCGAGGCCACCCUCACUGACCCGAUGUCCCCAAGGCCACCACGGCCCCGAUGUCCCCGACGCCACCAUCACUGACCCGAUGUCCCCUCCCGGUGUCACCCUUGUCCCUCUGUCCCCUCCCCCAGUGACCAAAAUCCGUUUUUUUCACUCAUUUUUAUUCAUUGCCUUUGUUGGGGACAUUUGGGGACAAUUGGGGACAUUUGGGGACAUUUUGGGGCCAUUUUGGGGCCAUUUGGGGCCAUUUUGGGGACAUUUUGGGACAAUUUUGGGACAUUUUAGGGACAUUUGGGGGACGUUUUGGGGACAUUUUUGGCCAUUUAAGGAUAUUUAGGGACAUUUGGGGACAAUUUCGGGACAUUUGGGGACAUUUUGGGGUCAUUUUGGGGACAUUUGGGGACAAUUGGGGGACAAUUUGGGACAAUUUCGGGACAUAUUGGGGCCAUUUGGGGACAUUUUUGGACAUUUUAGGGACAUUUGGGGACAUUGGGGACAUUUUAGGGACAUUUGGGGACAUUUUUGGCCAUUUAAGGAUAUUUAGGGACAUUUGGGGACAAUUGGGGGCAUUUGGGGACACUCUGGGGACAUUUGGGGCCAUCUGGGGACACUUUGGGGCCGCUUGGUGACAUCUCAGGCUCCUGCGGAGAGAGGGGCGGGCUCAGGGGGUGGCCGUGUCCCCAAGGUGUCCCCAAGGUGUCCCCAAGGUGUCCCCGGGGGGGGAGGGGACACUCACCUGUCCCGGCCGGGGGUGGCGGCUCCGGGCGGCGGCGGCUGCGGGGCGCGGCGCGGUGUCACCAAAUGCCACCCGGGUGG
rnacentral:lncRNA from 14 species